GAUGAAGAACGUAGCGAAAUGCGAUACUUGGUGUGAAUUGCAGAAUCCCGUGAACCAUCGAGUCUUUGAACGCAAGAUGCGCCUCAAGCCAUUAGGUUGAGGGCACGUCUGCCUGGGCGUCACAUAUCGUUGCCUGAUGCCAGUUUCCUCGUGAUGGGUGACUGUGCAGGGCGAAUGAUGGCUUCCCGUGAGCAUUGUUGCCUCAUGGUUGGUUGAAAAUUGAGUCCUUGGUAGGGAGCGCCGUGAUAGAUGGUGGUUGAGUGACGAACGAGACCCAAUCAUGUGAGACCCCUACCGAAUUUGGCCUUCAUGACCCACAUGCGUCUUUGGAACGCUCAUGACGAGACCUCAGGUCAGGCGGGGCUACCCGCUGAGUUUAAGCAUAUCAAUAAGGGAGGA
rnacentral:misc_RNA from 1 species